AAUGACUAUUCCCAUCACACAAACGGCGUCAUUUUGGGAAGUGAUUCAUCGCCUUCUUCCUCAGGAACCGUUUCUGGAGUAAAGGCUCAAAGCCGUUUCAAUCGCAAGGAUGCUUGGCAUUAUCUGGCUAUAAAGCCAGAUAAGAUGAGAGAGCACAGGAGGGGGGGGAAGACAGAAAAAGACUGGGGUGCAUAACCGAAAAGCCACUGGUGAUCACAGAACCGGGGAAGAGGAGAAAAUAAACAGACUUUCGUUCCUCUGUUUCUUCUCAAAGAAACAGAGGAGGUUAAAGAAAAAAACAAAGCAACGAAGGGGAGGAAAAGGGCAGAACCGAGGGGCGGACGGGAGGAGAAAAAAGAGCAGAACUGAGAAAAAGAAAAAAAAGAAAUAGAACCGGGGAGUGAGACUGUACAGAGGGGAGCAAAAUUUGUGCCCCUGUUUCUUCCAAAAGAAACAGAGGCGUUCGGCGCCAUUCUCUGGUAAGCCAGAGAAGGCCACAGAGAAGGAAACAAGUAACUCAGGGGGCACCACCUCCCCCCCUUACCACUGAACUCAUAGACGAAGCAGAAAAGGCAGAAGACGCAGGAGACGGAGAUUGGAAAAGAGGGAAGCUAAACCCAGACACGAAAAAAACCAGGGAAACGGGGAGGAAGAAAAAGAACCAACGAGGAAGACGAAAACUGGGAGGAGACUAGAACACAAAAACAAAAGGCCCGAGACAGAGGGGACGAGCAGAAGAACCCGAAGGAACUGGAGGAGAAGACAGACGCGAACCAGACAAACAAUAAAAAACCCAGGGGAAGACAGGGGCGGGUUGAAACAGAGGAAAGGGAAGGCAGAGUUCCUUCAUAACUUCGGCAACCGAAAACAACAAACGAAAACCGGAGGGAGCACAGGAGAUCGAUCAAAUACCAAAAGCAAGGGAACCAGCCAUUCGCAGAAUCACAAGAACAAAGAGGAAAGAAGGAAACAAAACGUGAAGCGAAAUGUGAAUGCAGGCUUGCUAGGAGACAGAAGAACUAUUUCAUUAUCCAGCAUAAACACUAUUGUUGACAUUAUUGGUCGAUCUGCUGGGGAUUCUUGAACUCAUAAAAGGCUUAUUUGAAUGGAUUUCAAACAUCAUGAGUAGGGUAUGACUUUCCUAAUUCCAGAUCCACCAUCUCCUAUGCUUUUCUUUCAUUCUAUAAGUCCCAAGCCUGGAAAUAGAAGUUCAAGAUAUCAUCCUUCACGAUAAGUAUAUAUGAUAAAAGGAAAAACUAGGGGAGACGUACAGUCUGAUAGUUACCUUGGGCUAUUUUAUUUUCUAGCCCAAACGAGCUACCAUGUAACUCGAUUGGGCUAAUUUUCGAAGCAAAACGGUAUUCAGCUUUUUCUCUCUUCUCUCUCUUUAUUAUUUUUUACUAUUAUUUAUGUUGAGUUCUCUUAUUUUUCGAGUUACCAUCAUUUGCUACAACUUUAGCUAGAGCUAUCAUAGUGGAAAACGCCACCUUUCAUGGUGAGUUACUACAAAUAUUUUUCAAAUAUUUUU